rnacentral:tRNA from 1 species
GCCGAAGUGGUGGAAUUGGUAGACACAGCAGACUCAAAAUCUGCCGGGGGCAACCCCAUGGGAGUUCGACUCUCCCCUUCGGCACCA